AUCUUUGUUCUGCAUUUGGGAUGAGUCGUAGUUAAAUCUCACGACGAUUAUCGAUUGGAGGGCAAGUCUGGUGCCAGCAGCCGCGGUAAUUCCAGCUUCAAGAGCGUAUAUUAAAGUUGCUGCAGUUAAAAAGCUCGUAGUUGGAUUUGUGGUGUGUCCAGUCGGCCUUUGCUCUUUGAGUGAUUGUGCUGUACUGGUCUGCCAUGUUUGGGUGGAAUCUGUGUGGCAUUAGGUUGUCGUGCAGGGGAUGCCCAUCGUUUACUGUGAAAAAAUUAGAGUGUUCAAAGCAGGCUUAUGCCGUUGAAUAUAUUAGCAUGGAAUAAUGAUAUAGGACCUUGGUACUAUUUUGUUGGUUUGCGCACUAAGGUAAUGAUUAAGAGGGACAGUUGGGGGUACUCGUAUUUCAUUGUCAGAGGUGAAAUUCUUGGAUUUCUGAAAGACGAACUACUGCGAAAGCAUUUACCAAGGAUGUUUUCAUUAAUCAAGAACGAAAGUUAGGGGAUCGAAGAUGAUUAGAUACCAUCGUAGUCUUAACCAUAAACUACGCCGACUCAGGAUUG
rnacentral:rRNA from 1 species